rfam:Crassostrea gigas strain 05x7-T-G4-1.051#20 contig23138, whole genome shotgun sequence.
CAAACGGCCGUUUUAACGGCCACCAAAUUUUUAGAAAAGAUGCCUCU